CUCACUGAGAAUAAUUUUCUGUUGUGGAAACAUCAAAUUGUGCUCAUCUCGAACGGUAUGGGCUGCAGCAAUAUGUGUUAGAAUCCUCUUGUCAUAUUUCUCAAUUUGUGAUUGAUGCAGAUGGGAAAUCUGGUUGACAAUCUAGAUUUUUAGCUACAUAACAGCAAGCCUCUGCAACUAAUGUCUCUCUUGAGUUACUGAGAUGUCGAGUGAUUGUGAGUCCAGACAAAAUGAAUUUGUUAGUAAUCUUCCUAUGAAAGCUAAUGUAGCUCGCGGCAAAAGAGGGAUGAAUCAGAUCAGUCAAAAGAGUUCAGACAAAUGAAUUUGCAAAGCCAUACGUUUUUAAUCCAAAUUAAUCCGACCAGCUUGUAAUGUACUUAUAUACCUUUGAAUAAGAUGAACAUAUUUUUGUCUCGUUUAAUA